ACUUUCUGAGUGGUGUCCUCUGCAAUAUCCGGGCAGCGGAGCGCGGCAGGACGCACCGGCGGGCAGCGGUCCCCGAAGAGCCUCCAGCGGAGGCCGGCCCAACUCACCGGAGCGCGAAGCCCGGCGCGCCGCUGCAGAGAUCGAAGGAGAGCCCUGGCGCUGGGCGUUUCUCUUCCGCCCUUGGCGCUAGAGUCAGCUACAUGGGGCUCUGGGCUUGUGAUCCCAUAGUCUAGUUUCCUCGUUUUAAUAAACUACAACAAGCCGGGCGCGGUGGCUCACGCCUGUAAUCCCAGCACUUCGGGAGGCCGAGGCGGGUGGAUCACAAGGUCAGGAGAUCGAGACCAUCCUGGCUAACACAGUGAAACCCCGUCUCUACUAAAAAUACAAAAAAUUAGCUGGGCGUCGUGGCGGAGGCCUGUAGUCCCAGCUACUCGGGAGGCUGAGCCAGGAGAAGGGUGUGAACCCGGGAGGCAGAGCUUGCAGUGAGCGGAGAUCACACAACUGCACUCGAGCCUGGGCGACAGAGCGAGACUCCGUCUCAAAAAAAAAAAAAAAAAGAAACAACAACAAAAUUACAAGCUUGAAAAAUAGGAAAAAGUUAUUUUAUUUUUUUUGGAAAAAAAUAUUUUUUAAAGUGACUCAAUUCCACAACCCUCACCUAAUUAUUAGUAUUUUAGGUGUUUUCCCAUAAUGUAUACAUACUUUUACAUGUUUCCAAUUACAAUAUACGAAAUUUCCUUUUUAUUUAAUAUAUAUCAGUUUCUGUAUCGGUACAUAAAUAUGAUUAUUCUAAUGACAGUAUAAUAAUUUGUCUAACCAUUCAGCCAUUGUUGGGUGUUAGGUAGCUACCAGGUUGGUUUGUUUUUUUGAGACAGAGUCUCGCUCUGUCGCCCAGGCUGGAGUGCAAUGGCGCGAUCUCGGCUCACUGCAACCUUCCGCCUCCCGGAUUCAAGCGAUUCUCGGCCUCAGCCUCCGAGUAUCUAGAAUUACAGGCGUCCGCCACCACGCCCGGGUUAAUUUUUGUAUUUUGAGUAGAGACGCGGUUUCACCAUCUUGGCAAGGCUGGUCUUGAACUCCUGACCUCAGGUGAUCCGUCCGCUCUACCUCCCAAAGUGCUGGGAUUACAGGCGUGAACCACCGCGCCUGGCCGGUUGCUGCCAGGUUUUGUUGUCUAUAAACGAUGCUACAAGCUGGGCACAGUGGCUCACACCUAUAAUCCCAGCACUUUGGGGACCGAGGUGGGAGGCUCGCUUGAGCUCAGACGUUCAAGACCAGCCUGGGCAACGUAGCGAGACCCGUCUCUACCAAAAAAAGAAAAAAAUUAAUUAGCGGGGCGUGGUGGCUUUUACCUCCAACCCCAGAUACUCUGGAGGCAGAGGUGGGAGGAUGGCUUGAGGUGGAGGUUGCAGUGAGCUGUUAUUGCACCACUGCACUCCAGCCUGGGCAACAGAGCAAGAUUGUCUCAAAAACAAACGAAAAGUAUAAACCUUUUGGCAGCUUUGCAUACAGCAUUAUUAUUUUGUGAAGAAAUAUAAAAUAGGGCCGGGGAGGUGGCUCAUGACUGUAAUCCCAGCACUUUGGGAGGCGGAGGCGGACGGAUCCGGAGGUCAGGUGGAUGGAUCAGGAGGUCAAGAGAUCGAGACCAUCCUAGCUAACACGAUGAAACCCGGUCUCUACUAAAAAUACAAAAAAUUAGCCGGGCAUGGUGGAGGGCGCCUGUAG
rnacentral:lncRNA from 1 species